rnacentral:tRNA from 1 species
GGGUGUAUAGCUCAGUGGUAGAGUGCCUACUUAGCAUGCAUGAGGUCCUGGGUUCAAUCCCCAGCACCUCCA